GAGGAAGUGUAGAGGAAGUGUAGAAGAGGUGUAGGGGAGGUGUAGAGGAAGUGUAGAGGAAGUGUAGGGGAGGUGUAGGGAAGGUGUAGAGUGUAGAGGAAGUGUAGAAAAGAGGUAGGGGAGGUGUAGGGGAGGUGUAGAGGAAGUGUAGAAAAGGGGUAGGGGAGGUGUAGAGGAAGUGUAGAAGAGGGGUAGGGGAGGUGUAGGGGAGGUGUAGAGGAAGUGUAGGGGAGGUGUAGAGGAGGUAUAGAGGAGGUGUAGGGGAGGUAUAGAGAAAGUGUAGGGGAGGUGUAGAGGAAGUGUAGGGGAGGUGUAGAGCAUGUGUGGGGAGGUGUAGAGUAUGUGUGGGGAGGUGUAGUGGAGGUGUAGGGGAGGUGUAGGGGAGGUGUAGAGGAAGUGUAGGGGAG